rnacentral:rRNA from 1 species
GACGAGCGCUGGCGGCGCGCCUCAUACAUGCAAGUCGAGCGAGAACCAGGGCUUGCCCUGGGGAGAGCGGCGAACGGGUGCGUAUCACGUGAGCAACCUGCCCCGAAGACCGGGAUAACUCGAGGAAACUCGGGCUAAUACCGGAUGUCCUCGGUGGACCGCAUGGUCCGGCGAGGAAAUGGAUUCCGCUUCGGGAUGGGCUCGCGGCCUAUCAGCUUGUUGGUGGGGUAAUGGCCUACCAAGGCGACGACGGGUAGCUGGUCUGAGAGGACGAUCAGCCACACUGGGACUGAGACACGGCCCAGACUCCUACGGGAGGCAGCAGUAGGGAAUCUUGCGCAAUAGGCGAAAGCCUGACGCAGCGACGCCGCGUGCGGGAUGAAGGCCUUCGGGUCGUAAACCGCUUUCAGCAGGGACGAAAUUGACGGUACCUGCAGAAGAAGGCCCGGCCAACUACGUGCCAGCCGCCGCCGUAAGAC